rnacentral:rRNA from 1 species
GACGAACGCUGGCGGCGUGCUUAACACAUGCAAGUCGAACGCUGAAGCUCAGCUUUUGUUGGGUGGAUGAGUGGCGAACGGGUGAGUAACACGUGAGUAACCUGCCCCCUUCUUUGGGAUAACGCCCGGAAACGGGUGCUAAUACUGGAUAUUCACUGGUCUUCGCAUGGGGGUUGGUGGAAAGGGUUUUUCUGGUGGGGGAUGGGCUCGCGGCCUAUCAGCUUGUUGGUGGGGUGAUGGCCUACCAAGGCUUUGACGGGUAGCCGGCCUGAGAGGGUGACCGGUCACAUUGGGACUGAGAUACGGCCCAGACUCCUACGGGAGGCAGCAGUGGGAAAUAUUGCACAAUGGGCGCAAGCCUGAUGCAGCGACGCCGCGUGAGGGAUGGAGGCCUUCGGGUUGUGAACCUCUUUCGCUCAUGGUCAAGCCGCAACAAUGGUUGUGGUGAGGGUAGUGGGUAAAGAAGCGCCGGCUAACUACGUG